UACGAAGGGGGCUAGCGUUGCUCGGAAUCACUGGGCGUAAAGGGUGCGUAGGCGGGUCUUUAAGUCAGGGGUGAAAUCCUGGAGCUCAACUCCAGAACUGCCUUUGAUACUGAAGAUCUUGAGUUCGGGAGAGGUGAGUGGAACUGCGAGUGUAGAGGUGAAAUUCGUAGAUAUUCGCAAGAACACCAGUGGCGAAGGCGGCUCACUGGCCCGAUACUGACGCUAAGGCACGAAAGCGUGGGGAGCAAACAGG
rnacentral:rRNA from 1 species